UGCCAGCAGCCGCGGUAAUACGGAGGGUGCGAGCGUUGUCCGGAAUUAUUGGGUUUAAAGGGUGCGUAGGCGGCCUUUUAAGUCAGAGGUGAAAUCCCACAGCUCAACUGUGGAACUGCCUUUGAUACUGGAAGACUUGAGUAUAGUAGAGGUAGGCGGAAUUGAAGGUGUAGCGGUGAAAUGCAUAGAUAUCUUCAAGAACACCGAUUGCGUAGGCAGCUUACUGGACUAUAACUGACGCUGAGGCACGAAAGCAUGGGUAGCGAAAGGGAUUAGAUA
rnacentral:rRNA from 1 species